rnacentral:tRNA from 1 species
UUAGAGAAAAGGAUUCGAACCUAUACCCAAAAAUCCAAAAUUUUUAGUACUCCCAACUAUACUACCCCUA